rnacentral:tRNA from 1 species
AUUAGGGUAGCUAGCCAGGCCCACGCAAAAGACUUAAAAUCUUAAUACGAAGGUUCAAAUCCUUCCCCUAACC